CAUUCUCUUUGCCUUUGACCUGCACACCUCCAGCAAGCACAGAGAGAUCUCAGAGGAGUCUGUCCCAAGGAUUCCUGCCGAUGCUUGUCUGAUCCUGCCUUCUGGGAAGCAUGGCCGCCACAGGAUUACGGGACAAAUAUAGACCCUGAGACACACAGCUGCUCUGAGAGGCACACUCUACAGCCUUGCUUGGCUCCAGGUGCUGCCAAGUCUUGAAACUCACGCCCAUCCCAACAAUGCCUUCAGGAGCCAUGGCCACAGCCGUAUGAGACCAUUACAGAGCAGGACUUGACCUUGCUACACAGCAAGCCUCCCAAGUGGCCCCACCACCUCCCAUGUCCAGCUACCAGGGCAGACUAGAGAAUGUCUGUGCCCCGGAUCCAAGUGGAAGAAGUGGGUGAGAAAGACAGGCCAGCAGGGGCAGCCAUACCUCCCGACGACCACCUCCUCAGCCUGAAGGCCCUCACUGAGAAGCUGAGGCUGGAGACCCGAAGACCUUCCUACCUGGAAUGGCAAGCCAAGCUGGAGGAGCAGACCUGGCCUUUUCCGAGGCCAGCUGCCCAGCAAGAGGCGAGUCUGGAGCAGGGAGCAUGUGGGGGUGGAGAGCCUUUGAUGUCUCUAAGGGAGCCCAGAGAGCUUCUUCCACCUGCCAGGAGUGCCAGUGGGGGUGACAGGCCACUGGCCACAGACAAGCUGGAAGGCUUCCGGAGUAUCGACGAAGCCAUCGCCUGGCUCAGAAAGGAACUGGUGAGUGACUGCCCGCCAAGAGGCCAUGGAUGUGUCAUGCAUGUUUCCUCUCGCCAUCUUUCUGUCUGACUGUCUGUCUUCCCACAUCAUGUUUGUCCCUCUA
rnacentral:lncRNA from 1 species